rnacentral:rRNA from 1 species
UUUUAACGGCCGCGGUAUACUGACCGUGCAAAGGUAGCAUAAUCAUUAGUCUUUUAAUAGAGGGCUGGAAUGAAAGGUUUAACGAGGAAUUGACUGUCUCAUUUUAUUUGUUUUAGAAUUUAAUUUUUUAGUCAAAAAGCUAAAAUUUUAUUGGAAGACAA